rnacentral:lncRNA from 1 species
AGAACUUGUUGCUCAAAUCUGCAAAUGAUCAUACAACUUAUGUGCAUAAAUAAUCAAGAUUUUGAAUUACCCGGAAAAAAAAUAUUAAAAUUUGUAGAGUAUGUUCACUAGAUUGAAAAGCAUGAGGUUUCUUUACAUGGACAAAAAGAAAAAGAAAUCCAUGAAAUGUCAUUGUUAUCUAUCAGCUUUUGAACAAUUCACUGAAAAUGCAGCAAAGCUAAUUCUUUAUGAUAAAUUGCAAAAUUUAAAGAACAAGAAUUAUAACUAUUCUUUAUGAUGCUUACCUUUAAUAUCAAAAUAUUUUAUUUGAAUUUGAACAGUUUGAAACAGUUCCCUCAUUAAGUACUUGUCACCUCUUUUUCUUCAUCCGAAAACAACAUUUUCCUAUCCAGAUGAGACAACUUUUUUGGGACAACCCCUCUCAAAUUAAACACCACUUUCCUUUCCUAAUGAGACAGACUUUUUUGGGACAGCCCCCUUAUCACCACCAUGAUCAUGACAUCAACAGGGUAUAUCAGCCGUUGGAUCAAAAUUCAUGAAAACCCAAUUGUAAAAAGAGUUUCAUUUCAUCAUUGAAAUCAAGAUUGCUAGAACUUGAUAAGAAAAUGAAUGAUGGUUUUGAUUGAAAUAUGUAUAAUGAGUCAAUGGAACACAAAAUAUAUAAAUGAGUUAAGGUGGGGUGGUGGGAUUAUAUUAGCAUUGACAAAG